rnacentral:rRNA from 1 species
AUGCUCCGGUUCGCCGGUCAAAGUCUUAAACCCUUUGUGAAAACAAAAGACCAUUUGCUUCGGCAGCUGGUCGGGUCUCCUAACCGUUUCUCGACCGUCAGCCUGCCGGCGGCGCCAAACCAAACUUGUUAUUUCUGUACAGUCUGAAAAACAUUUUUUGAAUGAAAUCAAAACUUUCAACAACGGAUCUCUUGGUUCUCGCAUCGAUGAAGAACGCAGCGAAACGCGAUAGUUAAUGUGAAUUGCAGAAUUCAGUGAAUCAUCGAGUCUUUGAACGCACAUUGCGCCCAUUGGUAUUCCGAUGGGCACGUCUGUUUGAGCGUCAUUACAACCCUUCGGUCUGGAUUUGUUACGGAUCCUGACCGGUUGUGAGCUCCGGCUUUCACCGGCCGGGCUUUAAAGUGGCACGCUCUGCGGGUGACCCAACCUGAACGAACAUAGUAGAAUCCAUUCAACCUGUUCGACUAAGGGAUGGUCAGCUCCGCCUGAACAAGAACCUAAUUUUCUAAGGUUUGACCUCAGAUCAGACGAGGAUACCCGCUGAACUUAAGCAUAUCAAUAAGCGGAGGAAAAGAAACCAACAGGGAUUGCCUCAGUAACGGCGAGUGAAGCGGCAACAGCUCAAAUUUGAAAUCUGAAGUCUUCGGCUUCCGAGUUGUAAUUUGUAGAGGAUGCUUCGGUUGUGGCCCCGGCCUAAGUUCCUUGGAACAGGACGUCGCAGAGGGUGAGAAUCCCGUACGCGGCUGGCGGCUUACUUCCAUGUGUAGCUCCUUCGAAGAGUCGAGUUGUUUGGGAAUGCAGCUCAAAAUGGGUGGUAAAUUUCAUCUAAAGCUAAAUACUGGGGAGAGACCGAUAGCGCACAAGUAGAGUGAUCGAAAGAUGAAAAGCACUUUGAAAAGAGAGUUAAACAGUACGUGAAAUUGUUGAAAGGGAAGCGCUUGCAAUCAGACUUGCUUGCGGUUGAUCAACGUUCCUUCUGGUUCGUGCACUCUGCCGCUUUGCAGGCCAGCAUCGGUUGAGACGGUGGGACAAAGACUCCGGGAAUGUGGCUCCUCUCGGGGAGUGUUAUAGCCCGGUGUG